rnacentral:rRNA from 1 species
GGGAUUGCCUUAGUAGCGGCGAGUGAAGCGGCAAUAGCUCAAAUUUGAAAUCUGGCACCUUCGGUGUCCGAGUUGUAAUUUGAAGAAGGUAUCUUUGGUAUUGGCUCUUGUCUAUGUUCCUUGGAACAGGACGUCACAGAGGGUGAGAAUCCCGUGCGAUGAGAUGCCCAAUGCUAUGUAAAGUUCCUUCGACGAGUCGAGUUGUUUGGGAAUGCAGCUCUAAGUGGGUGGUAAAUUCCAUCUAAAGCUAAAUAUUGGCGAGAGACCGAUAGCGAACAAGUACUGUGAAGGAAAGAUGAAAAGAACUUUGAAAAGAGAGUGAAAAAGUACGUGAAAUUGUUGAAAGGGAAGGGCUUGAGAUCAGACUUGAUAUUUUCCAAAUUUUAUUGGAGCUUAUCGGGCCAGCAUCAGUUUGGAUGGUAGGAUAAUUGCGCAGGAAAGUGGCAUUGCUUCGGUAAUGUGUUAUAGCCUGUGUCGAUACUACCUGUCUAGACUGAGGACUGCGUCUUUGACUAGGAUGCUG